rnacentral:rRNA from 1 species
GGCCUAACACAUGCAAGUCGAGCGGAUGAGAGGAGCUUGCUCCUUGAUUCAGCGGCGGACGGGUGAGUAAUGCCUAGGAAUCUGCCUGUUAGUGGGGGAUAACGUUCCGAAAGGAACGCUAAUACCGCAUACGUCCUACGGGAGAAAGUGGGGGAUCUUCGGACCUCACGCUAACAGAUGAGCCUAGGUCGGAUUAGCUAGUAGGUGAGGUAAUGGCUCACCUAGGCGACGAUCCGUAGCUGGUCUGAGAGGAUGAUCAGCCACACUGGAACUGAGACACGGUCCAGACUCCUACGGGAGGCAGCAGUGGGGAAUAUUGGACAAUGGGCGAAAGCCUGAUCCAGCCAUGCCGCGUGUGUGAAGAAGGUCUUCGGAUUGUAAAGCACUUUAAGUUGGGAGGAAGGGCUCUUGGCUAAUACCCAGGAGUUUUGACGUUACCGACAGAAUAAGCACCGGCUAACUCUGUGCCAGCAGCCGCGGUAAUACAGAGGGUGCAAGCGUUAAUCGGAAUUACUGGGCGUAAAGCGCGCGUAGGUGGUUUGUUAAGUUGGAUGUGAAAGCCCCGGGCUCAACCUGGGAAUUGCAUCCAAAACUGGCAGACUAGAGUACGGUAGAGGGUGGUGGAAUUUCCUGUGUAGCGGUGAAAUGCGUAGAUAUAGGAAGGAACACCAGUGGCGAAGGCGACCACCUG